UACGUAGGGUGCAAGCGUUGUCCGGAAUUAUUGGGCGUAAAGAGCUAGUAGGCGGUUUGUUGCGUCGGCUGUGAAAUCCCGAGGCUCAACCUCGGGUCUGCAGUCGAUACGAGCAAACUAGAGUGUUGCAGGGGAGACUGGAAUUCCUGGUGUAGCGGUGAAAUGCGCAGAUAUCAGGAGGAACACCGGUGGCGAAGGCGGGUCUCUGGGCAACAACUGACGCUGAGGAGCGAAAGCGUGGGGAGCGAACAGG
rnacentral:rRNA from 1 species